UAAUAAUUCCUAAAUUUGACAAGGCCUUAUAUAAUAAGGUAACAAACAUAAGAGCUUUUGUAAUAUAUGCACUUUAAAUUUCCUAAUUAAGUUUAUUAUUUAAUUUUUUCCCCUUCGACAUUAAUUUUAAAUUUCUCAAACUUGUUACAAUUUUUUUUGGUGAAGUUGAUGCAACUCGAUUUUUCUGACAUUAUGAGUGGUGGUUAUUAAAUGUUACAUGUUUAUUAAAUAUAUUAUAUUUGGAUUAUUUUAAAUUUGUCGCGAUAAUAAAUUGAGACAAAUCGAACGCGAUUAAAGGGUUUUGUAGUCGAAUUUUAUUUUCAACAUGGAUCCGGUAUUAGCUUAAUUUGUAUUAAGCUCUAAAAAAAAGGGGGCCGAUUCUAUAAAUAGAAAGACGGGGAGGGGGAGAGAAGAAGCUGAACUGGUUUGACCCGCGACCCGAACCGACUCGCGAACGUGACCCGGUUGGAACUCACGAUUUCGGCCACCGUUCCGACCAAGCAAGGUACCAAUGUGAAGCUUAGAAGCCAACCAUGACAACUCGUCGUCCUCCCCGUCGAAAACCGACCGGAACGCGGCCGUUGGAAGCUCAAAAAGUUGCAGCCAAAACCCAUCACCAUCGUUGUCGAUUUCACCGGAAUUAGGCUGCGUCACCGGCUGGGUUCUACUCCUCACGUCACCAGUUUCUAUUUCCGACCGGUCCCGUCACCUGAAACGGCCGGAUUGUCGCAGAUCGGCCACUUGUAGGUUCACGGAUUUGGGAGCUCGAUCCGGAGCUGUCACCGCGCAUGGGACCUCACCGCCACGACCAUUGGACUCAGCGUGGUUAAAACUAUCAGACCUAAGCUUCCCAUCGCCGUUGCCUGAACACCGGUCACUGUUGACAGGCAGGGGUAAUUUGGUAAUUUCACAAACUUUGGGGAUAAUUUCGUAAUUUCAAAAAAUGGUGGAUAACUUUGUAAUUUCAUAUUAGGGCAGAUAGGUAAUUUGAGAUUUUGGGGGUAAUUCGGUAUGUUGUUAAGGGCAUUUUGGUAAUUUCGCACUCCAAGGGUAAUUUUGUAAUUUUAGGCCUUAUGGUUAUUUUUGUAAUAUGAAUUGAGGCUAGCUUAGUAAUUUAAAUUUGGUAAAUAUCGAUGUCGGGGCAUUUUGGUAAUUUUAGGACGUAGGAGUAUUUUGGUAAUUUUAUGAAUACAGGACGGACAAAUAUUUGUUUCGAGUUCUAUUGCGUAAAAUUAGUUGUAUUUCAUAUAUAUGGAAAAUGAUUAUGUCGUUUCCUUCAAUUAGAAGGAUUUACGAACGGGAAUUAACCUGCAGACAUUGAUGAUACCGAUUUCGAAUAUUGUCACUGUGAAUGGAAUAUACAAAACUUAUUUUCAUAAUAUAUUCUAAUUUUACGAUACAGUACAGUAUUUUUUGAUAAAUAAAUAUUUAAUGCUCUGAUUUAAUGAUUUUCUAGAAAAUGAAUUCUUAUCUAUGUGCUAAUAUUUAUUUAUUAUUGAAAAUGAGUUUGAUUAAUGAUUUUACUAUCAUUUUUAAGUUAAUGCAAGAUAAUACUUUUAAAGAGAAUUAAGUGAAUUUGAAGGGUUGUUUGCAAAACAUAAAUGAGAUUUAUGUGUGAUUAUAUGUUUAUGUAUAUGUGUAUAAAAGGGUUGUUUGCAAAAUCAUUGGGCAGUAUCCUUCCCCUUCAGAUAUAGUGAUCGGGAUGAGAUGAGAGUCCUUUGGGGCUGUCUGAACACACAUAGAGGUUUUGAGUCGUGUGUUUGGGCGCUUUUGCCUUUAGGGGGAUAAUGCAUGCAGUAUAAUUAUUACAGAGAUAUAGGUAUUGAGAUACAAAUAGAUAUUGAGAUAUAGAUGAGAUAGAUAAUACAGAUGGGACAUAAGCCUUUGGGGCCUAUCUAAGUAGACACAGAAUCUUUGGAUCGUGUGCUUGGGCGUCUUGUCCUUUGGAGACUAGAUUAUACAUGCACAGAUAUGAUGAGAUAUGAGAUAGCACUUCCCUGUCUAUCCGUGUAGAUUCGGGGCAUGAUGGUAUCCUGAUUGCCCGUCCAUCGAGGUCCAAAUAUGAUAAGAUAUGAG
rnacentral:lncRNA from 1 species